rnacentral:rRNA from 1 species
AUUGAACGCUGGCGGCAUGCCUUACACAUGCAAGUCGAACGGUAACGGGCCUUCGGGUGCCGACGAGUGGCGAACGGGUGAGUAAUACAUCGGAACGUGCCCGAUCGUGGGGGAUAACGAGGCGAAAGCCUUGCUAAUACCGCAUACGAUCUACGGAUGAAAGCAGGGGACCGCAAGGCCUUGCGCGGACGGAGCGGCCGAUGGCAGAUUAGGUAGUUGGUGGGAUAAAAGCUUACCAAGCCGACGAUCUGUAGCUGGUCUGAGAGGAUGAUCAGCCACACUGGGACUGAGACACGGCCCAGACUCCUACGGGAGGCAGCAGUGGGGAAUUUUGGACAAUGGGCGCAAGCCUGAUCCAGCCAUGCCGCGUGCAGGAUGAAGGCCUUCGGGUUGUAAACUGCUUUUGUACGGAACGAAAAGCCUUCUUUUAAUACAGGAGGGUCAUGACGGUACCGGAAGAAUAAGCACCGGCUAACUACGUG